rnacentral:rRNA from 1 species
GAUGGCGACCGGCGCACGGGUGAGUAACACGUAUCCAACCUGCCGAUGACUCGGGGAUAGCCUUUCGAAAGAAAGAUUAAUACCCGAUGGCAUAGUUCUUCCGCAUGGUAGAACUAUUAAAGAAUUUCGGUCAUCGAUGGGGAUGCGUUCCAUUGGGUUGUUGGCGGGGUAACGGCCCACCAAGCCUUCGAUGGAUAGGGGUUCUGAGAGGAAGGUCCCCCACAUUGGAACUGAGACACGGUCCAAACUCCUACGGGAGGCAGCAUG